rnacentral:rRNA from 1 species
UGCCAGCAGCCGCGGUAAUACGGAGGAUGCAAGCGUUAAUCGGAAUUACUGGGCGUAAAGCGUGUGUAGGCGGACUUUUAAGUCAGAUGUGAAAUCCCAAGGCUCAACCUUGGAACUGCAUUGGAAACUGGGAGUCUAGAGAUCAGGAGAGGUCAGCGGAAUACCGAGUGUAGAAGUGAAAUUCGUAGAUAUUCGGAGGAACACCAGUGGCGAAGGCGGCUCACUGGCUCGAUACUGACGCUGAGGUGCGAAAGCGUGGGGAGCAAACAGGAUUAGAUA